GGCAGGGUAGCCAAGCCCGGACGGGAUAAACGCUGAAGGCAUCUAAGCGUGAAGCCCCCCUCAAGAUGAGAUAUCUCAUACGCAAGUAGUAAGACCCCUUGAAGACGACGAGGUAGAUAGGUCAGAGGUGGAAGUGCGGUAACGCAUGGAGCUGACUGAUACUAAUCGGUCGAGGGCUUGACCAAUAA
rnacentral:rRNA from 1 species